AUUGAACGCUGGCGGCAGGCCUAACACAUGCAAGUCGAGCGAGCGGCGGACGGGUGAGUAAUGUCUGGGAAACUGCCUGAUGGAGGGGGAUAACUACUGGAAAGGGUAGCUAAUACCGCAUACCAUCAGAUGUGCCCAGAUGGGAUUAGCUAGUGGGUGGGGUAAUGGCUCACCUAGGCGACGAUCCCUAGCUGGUCGGAGAGGAGGACCAGCCAUCCUGGAACUGAGACACGGGCCAGAACCUUACGGGAGGCAGCAGUGGGGAAUAUUGGAAAAUGGGGGCAAGCCUGAUGCAGCCAUGCCGGGUGUAUGAAGAAGGCCUUCGGGUUGUAAAGUACUUUGAGCUGGGAGGCGUUAUCCGCAGAAGAAGCACCGGCUAACUCCGUGCCAGCAGCCGCGGUAAUUC
rnacentral:rRNA from 1 species